UACGUAGGGUGCAAGCGUUGUCCGGAAUUAUUGGGCGUAAAGAGCUCGUAGGCGGUUCGUCGCGUCGGCUGUGAAAUCCCGAGGCUCAACCUCGGGUCUGCAGUCGAUACGGGCGGACUGGAGUUCGGCAGGGGAGACUGGAAUUCCUGGUGUAGCGGUGAAAUGCGCAGAUAUCAGGAGGAACACCGGUGGCGAAGGCGGGUCUCUGGGCCGAUACUGACGCUGAGGUGCGAAAGCGUGGGGAGCAAACAGG
rnacentral:rRNA from 1 species